rnacentral:lncRNA from 1 species
UUGUCCCAAAUGUGCAUAGGCCCAGAAGGUCAGCUUAGGCAGGUCUUUGGUAUAGCUCCCUCCCCCAAGCAGGAAGGAGCCCCAGUAUGGGGUGUGGAGGAAAAUGGGUGGGGCCCUGGCCCUUGUAAUCGGCCUCUAAGCUAUAAAGGGUCUCUGAACCCCAACUGAGUAGGAGAUGCCUAAUGCAUAUGCUCCUCCCAGCUCUUCAUUACAGUCAUGGACAAGCUGCGUCUGGAGAUCCGCGCCAUGGACGAGGUGCAGAAGUUGGGCAGGGAGCCCGGGCCUGGAUGGAGGGGAGCAGAGCAAGGUACAUAGGGUCUCACGAGGAUAGCACUUGUGUCUGUAGAUCCAGCCAGACCUGCGGGAGCUAAUGGAGACCAUGCACAGAAUGAGCCACCUGCCUCCAGACUUUGAGGGCCGCCAAACAGUCAGCCAGUGGCUGCAGACCCUGAGUGGUAUGUCGGCCUCUGAUGAGCUAGAUGACUCCCAAGUUCGCCAGAUGCUCUUCGAUCUGGAGUCAGCUUACAAUGCCUUCAACCGCUUCCUACACUCCUGAGUGUCAUCGAGGCAAGAAAGAGACUGAUGGAGAUGUGACGCCUCAGCUCCCUGUGUCUACACCUGUCCCACAUGUCUAUAUUGUCAGGACAUCGCCCACAAUAAAGAUCUCUCUAACCUUCCUGCUAUGAGCAGUUA